AUCCAAGGAUCUCAGUGGAAUGUGAAUUUCAACCCCACAAACGGCUAUUCUCAUUACAGCCUCAAACGAAAAUCAUGUUAAAUCUCUUUUGUGCAAAGAGCCGACACAUCAUGUCUGUUCAAGUUGUUCCUUCUACUUUAACAAGCCCAAAUCAGCAUGCAGUGGGGUCCUAAUAUUGUGAUCGCUGAUUACUCAUAAGUAUGCAGAGGUUACACAUUGUAAAAUAUUUUGUAGGUAUGGGACAUAAAAGUGCCACUUUGUAUACUAGACUAAAAGCAGUUUAAUAUACUGACUGUGUUCUCCAUUUCUUUCCCCUGAAGUCAUGUCCAGCAAAGAGGUCAGCAUCAGUUCCCUUCAUUGACAUCCUCACGAUUGGACCUGUACAACGGUCUCAGGAGCCACCAAAGCAGUCCUCAGCCUCAGCAGGAACAGCCGGGCCCUGGGUGAUCUUCAGCGGCCUCAUUCAGGUGCUGCUCCUCCACAAACUCUGAAAGACAAAAGGAAAGAAGACAA